rnacentral:rRNA from 1 species
GACGAACCGAGCGAACGUUGUUCGGAAUUACUGGGCGUAAAGGGCGCGUAGGCGGCCUUCUAAGUCGAACGUGAAAUCCCCGGGCUCAACCCGGGAACUGCGUCCGAUACUGGAAGGCUUGAAUCCGGGAGAGGGAUGCGGAAUUCCAGGUGUAGCGGUGAAAUGCGUAGAUAUCUGGAGGAACACCGGUGGCGAAGGCGGCAUCCUGGACCGGCAUUGACGCUGAGGCGCGAAAGCCAGGGGAGCAAACGGG